rnacentral:rRNA from 1 species
UGAACGCUGGCGGCGUGCCUAACACAUGCAAGUCGAACGAAGCAUACGGACCGGAGAUUCGUCGAAGGACCGUAUGACUUAGUGGCGGACGGGUGAGUAAUGUAUGAGCAACCUGCCUUUCAGAGGGGGACAACAGUUGGAAACGACUGCUAAUACCGCGUAACGUGUCGUGAGGGCAUCCUCGUGAUACCAAAGGAGCAAUCCGCUGAAAGAUGGGCUCAUAUCUGAUUAGCUUGUUGGCGGGGUAACGGCCCACCAAGGCGACGAUCAGUAGCCGGACUGAGAGGUUGAACGGCCACAUUGGGACUGAGAUACGGCCCAGACUCCUACGGGAGGCAGCAGUGGGGAAUAUUGGGCAAUGGGCGAAAGCCUGAACCCCAGCAACGCCGCGUGAAGGAAGAAGGUCUUCGGAUUGUAAACUUCUUUUAUGAGGACGAAGGACGUGACGGUACCUCAUGAAUAAGCCACGGCUAACUACGUGCCAGCAGCUGC